AUUGAACGCUGGCGGCAGGCCUAACACAUGCAAGUCGAGCGAGCGGCGGACGGGUGAGUAAUGUCUGGGAGACUGCCUGCUGGAUGGGGAUAACUACUGGAAACGGUCGCUAAUACCUCAUACCCUCAGAUGUGCCCAGAUGGGAUUAGCUAGUAGGUUGGGUAACGGCUCACCUAGGCGACGAUCCCUAGCUGGUCGGAGAGGAUGACCAGCCACACUGGAACUGAGACACGGUCCAGACUCCUACGGGAGGCAGCAGUGGGGAAUAUUGCACAAUGGGAGCAAGCCUGAUGCAGCCAUGCCGCGUGUGUGAAGAAGGCCUUCGGGUUGUAAAGCACUUUCGGCGGGGAGGCGUUACUCGCAGAAGAAGCACCGGCUAACUCCGUGCCAGCAGCCGCGGUAAUAC
rnacentral:rRNA from 1 species